UUCUUAUCUCCGGGGCCCACAGGCCAGCGUGGGUUAUGACGCAGUGUCCUUUGCCAUGCGCUUAUCUAAUCAGCUCAUGCUUCAAAAUUCAGCUGGAUCAUUUCCGCUCUGCGAAGGAUAUGACAUGGUAACUAUCCAUGAGAAGACAAAGAAGUCAGCAAUCUGAUGCAAGAACUGAAAGGGAGCCCCAGCUAGAAUCUCACAGAGUAAUUAUAAAAGAUCCAGAAAGCAAGGAACUUUCCUAGUCAUCCAUGGAAAGAAAAAAAAAAAAAAAAAUGUUGGCUAAAUCAGUGCAGUCCAGUUCUAAUGGAGAGGAGCUCUCAGCCAAUCCACCUCUAAUUGGUCCUAAUGACUCUCCACACCUCAUACAGAAGGCUGCUUGGGCUGCUGCACAAACAUGCCAAAAGGCAACUUGCCUCUUAACACAUGGAAAUAAUUCACGUACCAGACACUCCCUCAGUAACACGCAGAACAUUUCUUUCUUAUUGCUUGUUCAUUUCCACUGAUGCACAUCUACUGACAUCAAGACAUGACAUCUUUUGGGUUUGGAGGGGUUGUUCUUUUAAAUACUUAAACAAAAACAGAUAUUUCACCUUCCAUUGUGAAUAAUUGUUUAAAAUUUUAUAAAUAUAUAUCACAGCAUAAGAAGGUAUUGAUUUUACAAGAAAGGAAUCAAGAUGACAUCGUUGGACCAUAAAAUGUGACCUUUAUGGACAAAUUUGAACAGAAAAAUUAUAUGUACAGUCAAUAUUAACAUCAGCGACUCAUCUUUUUAACACUGUGUGACUUGAAAAUGCUACUGAGGACGACAAAAACACGUAGGCAAAUAUUGACAAUUCACUUCACGCGUAACACAGUCACAGUCACAAAGUAGAUGCCGACCUGGUAAAUCAGCCCAAAAGGAUUGCUUGAUGUCCUUAAGAGCCUGUAUAAGGCAGUAAAUAUGAGGACAAUAUGUAGGUGUCUUUCUGAGUAGCUUCACAUGGUGGUUGCCUGCUGGUGACUAGAGAGAAUGUUAUUUCCAUUUCAACCCAAAGUAGGAUGACCUGAGAGCAGAUAAUUUGGAUCUCAAAACAGAGGACUCCAAUUUGAAUCGAUGGCUCAGCAACAUAUUUGCCUCCUGUGAGGCUAUUUCCCCACCUAAAAAGUGGAAAACCUUCAAGCAUAGGCUGUUGAGGAUUCAAUGGUUUGUGAAGGGUCCUGGUAAAAAGUAGUCAAAAGUGGUGAUUGUCAUCAUUUGAUUGCCUUGGCUUCCUCACCCAGCCUCGCACCUCCAGGAUCAUUUUCAAAUUGCUCACAAACUGCUCUCUCUGUAGCAGUCAGCAUUCUUUCAGUUGCAAGCAACAGAUACACAACACCAAGUGGCUGAAACAAGAAAGCCUUGGGAGACUGAAUAUCCACACAAGGCUUAUACAGAAAGAGAUUUGAUUCACAACCUCUGCAGCAGCCAUUCCAGGAUGCUAAAACACAAUUUCUGCAGCCAUCAGCCCACAAGGUCAGACUUGGUCAAAGAUUUCCACCUUCCUUCAUUUUUUGACUCUGCUUCCAACUUAGGAUCAACCAGAGAAAACCAAACACGUGUCUCUGACCAGCUACAAGAACAGCUCAUUUGUUAGCCUUCUCCUGGUUUAUCUCAGGGAGAAAAGACACACAAACCCUAAUUCUACUCACUUUCCAACUCUCCACUAAACAUUGCUUCCACCCCUCACACCCUCUCAAGGUCUUUGCCAUUACAGUUAUUUCUUCUCCAUCUUACAUCUUUAAUUUUUCCUUUCCAUGGA